rnacentral:rRNA from 1 species
CCUACGGGAGACAGCAGUGGGGGAUAUUGCACAAUGGGGGGAACCCUGAUGCAGCGACGCCGCGUGAGUGAAGAAGUAUCUCGGUAUGUAAAGCUCUAUCAGCAGGGAAGAAGCAAGACGGUACCUGACUAAGAAGCCCCGGCUAACUACGUGCCAGCAGCCGCGGUAAUACGUAGGGGGCGAGCGUUAUCCGGAUUUACUGGGUGUAAAGGGAGCGUAGACGGCAUGGCAAGUCUGGAGUGAAAGCCCCGGGCCCAACCCCGGGACUGCUCUGGAAACUGCGAUGCUAGAGUGCUGGAGAGGUAGGUGGAAUUCCCAGUGUAGCGGUGAAAUGCGUAGAGAUUAGGAGGAACACCAGUGGCGAAGGCGGCCUACUGGACAGUGACUGACGUUGAGGCACGAAAGCGUGGGGAGCAAACAGGAUUAGAUACCCUGGUAGUC